rnacentral:rRNA from 1 species
CCUACGGGUGGCAGCAGUGGGGAAUAUUGCACAAUGGGGGAAACCCUGAUGCAGCGACGCCGCGUGAGUGAAGAAGUAUUUCGGUAUGUAAAGCUCUAUCAGCAGGGAAGAAAGAGCGACCUGUGGGGCGCCAGACGGUACCUGACGAAGAAGCCCCGGCUAACUACGUGCCAGCAGCCGCGGUAAUACGUAGGGGGCAAGCGUUAUCCGGAUUUACUGGGUGUAAAGGGAGCGUAGACGGCAGCACAAGUCUGAAGGGAAAUGCCGGGGCUUAACCCCGGAACUGCUUUGGAAACGGUGCAGCUUGAGUGCCGGUGAGGUAAGUGGAAUUCCUAGUGUAGCGGUGAACUGCGUAGAUAUUAGGAGGAACACCAGUGGCGAAGGCGGCUUACUGGACUGUAACUGACGUUGCGGCUCGAACGCGUGGGGAGCAAACAGGAUUAGAUACCCGGGUAGUC